CAAAAACUCUCUUUUUCUCUCUAGUGGUUGAGACCUUCCAUGGGUGCUCUCCAAAUUUUUUUACCAAAUUUCUCACACAACUCUCUCAAUCUCUCAUCUCUACCCAUAUCUAAACACUAUCCUAUUUCCCCUUGUUGGUUUUAGAAGUUAGAAGAAACUUCAAAGGAAGAAAAUUCAAGAGGUUGAUGGCUUGUUCAAAGGCUAGAGAUGUUAGAGGCAAACCCAAACCCUCCAAGAAGUCUACAAGAGGUGCCAUAUGUUCAUUUAUUUUGUGGUGAUGGGCAAAGUCCAAUCCAAAAAGAAUGUAUAUCAUGAGAACCAUUCAGCCUUGUUACGAUCAAAGGGAUGUAAAAUCUAAAGUUUUACUUGACAUUUUUAUUCAUAUGGUUUUAAAGCUGUUUUAUUGUGAAUUAAGACCGAAAUAAUGUUGUUUGUUUGUUGACAUUUAAAUCAAUGUUUUAUUUUAAAUUACAGAUAUCUGUAUACCACAUGUUUUAAAUAAGAUUUUAAUUAAGUUUUAUGCA